rnacentral:lncRNA from 1 species
CCCCCAGGGAUGGUAACAACAAAGCGAAACAGCAGCAAAUAUUCAAGGCGCAUGGAGAAAUCCCCCCUACCUCUUUUAUUUUAGUUCCCACAAAAUUUGGAUACUGGAGACCCGCCCAUGUCCCCGAAUGGAUAUCCCACUAAGAUACAAUCCCAAGGCUUGCCGCCGAGGGCCGGCACAUAUGCAGCUUUUAUAUAAAGGCGGUGGACAACUCCAACG